GAUGAACGCUGGCGGCGUGCCUAAUGCAUGCAAGUCGAACGAAGCCUUCGGGCUUAGUGGCGAACGGGUGAGUAACACGUUGGUACCUACCCUCUAGUGGGGAAUAACUGGCCGAAAGGUCGGCUAAUACCGCAUAAUACCGCAAGGUUAAAGCAGCAAUGCGCUAGAGGAGGGGCCUGCGUCCCAUUAGCUUGUUGGUAGUGUAAUGGACUACCAAGGCGGCGAUGGGUAGCUGGAUCGAGAGGUUGACCAGCCACACUGGGACUGAGAUACGGCCCAGACUCCUACGGGAGGCAGCAGUAAGGAAUCUUCCACAAUGGACGAAAGUCUGAUGGAGCAACGCCGCGUGCAGGAUGACGGCCUUCAGGUUGUAAACUGCUUUUAUAUGGGAAGAUUAUGACGGUACCAUAUGAAUAAGGACCGGCUAACUACGUGCCAGCCGCCGCGGUAA
rnacentral:rRNA from 1 species